GACGAACGCUGGCGGCGUGCUUAACACAUGCAAGUCGAACGGAAAGGCCCUGCUUUUGUGGGGUGCUCGAGUGGCGAACGGGUGAGUAACCCGUGAGUAACCUGCCCUUGACUUUGGGAUAACUUCAGGAAACUUGGGAUAAUACCCGAUAGGAGCUCCUGCUGCAUGGUGGGGGUUGGAAAGUUUCGGCGGUUGGGGAUGGACUCGCGGCUUAUCAGCUUGUUGGUGGGGGAGUGGCUUACCAAGGCGUUGACGGGUAGCCGGCCUGAGAGGGUGACCGGCCACAUUGGGACUGAGAUACGGCCCAGACUCCUACGGGAGGCAGCAGUGGGGAAUAUUGCACAAUGGGCGGAAGCCUGAUGCAGCAACGCCGCGUGCGGGAUGACGGCCUUCGGGUUGUAAACCGCUUUCGCCUGUGACGAAGCGUGAGUGACGGUAAUGGGUAAAGAAGCACCGGCUAACUACGUG
rnacentral:rRNA from 1 species